AAGUGCAUUUUCCUGAUCCAAACAAGCUUCAUUGUUUUCAGCUAACAGUAACCCCAGAUGAGGGUUACUACCAGGGUGGAAAAUUUCAGUUUGAAACUGAAGUUCCCGAUGCGUACAACAUGGUGCCUCCCAAAGUGAAAUGCCUGACCAAGAUCUGGCACCCCAACAUCACAGAGACAGGGGAAAUAUGUCUGAGUUUAUUGAGAGAACAUUCAAUUGAUGGCACUGGCUGGGCUCCCACAAGAACAUUAAAGGAUGUCGUUUGGGGAUUAAACUCUUUGUUUACUGAUCUUUUGAAUUUUGAUGAUCCACUGAAUAUUGAAGCUGCAGAACAUCAUUUGCGGGACAAGGAGGACUUCCGGAAUAAAGUGGAUGACUACAUCAAACGUUAUGCCAGAUGAUAAAAGGGGACGAUUGCAGGCCCAUGGACUGUGUUACAGUUUGUCUCUAACAUGAAACAGCAAGAGGUAGCCCCCUCUCCCGUCCUCAUGCUCCCUCUCAGUCCCCUGGAUUGCCCCAGUCCUGUGACCAUGUUGCCCUGAAGAAGACCAUCUUCAUGACUGCUCAUUGUAGAUGGAGAAUUCAACAUAAAUACAGCAAGAAAAUGUGUUUGGGCUUCUGAAGAGUUGUCUGCUUACCUUAACAUGUUUACUUUUUUGAACUUGUACUGUAUAGGCUGUUGGUGAAAUUCUUAAGAAGUUGUAAUGAACUCAAAAUUGAGGCCAGAGCUUGCUUUCCCUUUUCCCAAACAAAAUUGGUUUUCUGCACAAGCGAUGCUAAUGAUGUGUUCAGUGUAACUCGCAGAUUGGCAAUAAGAUACCCGCUACAAACUGUGAUUGGAUGCAAAAUCUCUUAGCUUCUUUCACGAAUGUUGGCCCUGCCUAGAUGUUGUGAAGCCUCCCAGAAUGCAUAGAGUCAUUCACUGUAGAUCUCUUAUUGAAAUGCGUAUUUUAUUUAAUGUAAGUAUAUUUUGGAACAGAUUUGUAAUUUGUACAAUUCAAUGCUUUAAUUAUUUUUUCUAUUCUCAUUUAGUUUGUAUUUUCAUUGUAUAGAGCAGACAGAAAGAUGUUGGGUCAAGCAACUAUUGAAGAGAAAUACAAAGAAAAUAUGAAAG
rnacentral:lncRNA from 1 species